UGCCAGUCCCGCGCCGUGCGCCCGCACUCCUCAGCCCUUGGGAGGUAGAUGGGACUGGGCGCCGUGGAGCAGGGGGCGGCGCUCGUCGGGGAGGCUCGGGUCGCACAGGAGCCCAUGGAGGUGGGGGGAGGCUCAGGCACGGCUGGGCUGCAGGUCCGGAGCCCUGCCCCGCGGGAAGGCAGCUAAGGACGGGCGAGAAAUUAAGCACAGCAGCUGCUGGCCCAGGUGCUAAGCCCCUCACUGCCUGGGGCUGGCGGGGCCGGCAGGCCGCUCCGAGUGCGGGCCCGCCGAGCCUACGCCCACCCGGAACUCGCGCUGGCCCGGAAGCACCGCGCGCAGCCCCGGUUCCGGCCCGCGCCUCUCCCUCCACACCUCCCCACAAGCUGAGGGAGCCGGCUGCGGCCUUCGCCAGCCCAGAAAGGGGCUCCUACAGUGCAGUGGCGGGCUGAAGGGCUGCUCAAGCGCCGCCAAAGUGGGAGCCCAGGCAGAGGAGGCGCCCAGAGCGAGCGAGGGCUGUGAGGACUGCCAGCACGCUGUCACCUCUCACUCAUAUAGAUUGCCAAUCUAUUUGUGAACCAGGUUUGCUGGAGUUUGGAUUUACUACUGAGUCAUAUUUGGAGCAUGCUGGAAUCUUACAACUGAGAUUACCGAGUCAGAAACUAUAAUGGAUAAUAAACCAGCUUACAGUACCCAAAGGAGAGCUUCUUGGACCCUGGAAAAGUCUUCAAAUGCACCGCAUACACAUUAAACUUUUUUUGCCCUCUGAAGAUGCCUUUGAAUCAAAUAAAAAUUGCUUUACUUUCAAAAUCAAGAAUCAAUUUUCCAGAGUUCCCUGGUUGAAAAGGAUAUUUUUAUCUGUGGCCUCAUCUGAUUCUUGAGGAAUUUAAUUCUCCAUUUUUCAAAGUUUGGAUGGGAGUACUCUAGGAUUCACUUGGGGGGCAUUUUAUAACCCAGAUUGCUUCCCAAUACCCUUCUUUAUUUCUCAUCUCAGACUCCAUGGAUUUAGCCUUCUACUCUUUCUGUCUCUAGUCAACAUGCCCCGAUCUGCCUUUUGGACUUUCAUUAGUCUCAAAUUGGCCUUCAAAGCAGGAUGAGAUAUUUCUAACUGUCUUCUACCAGUCCUACACCACAAAGCAAUAAUUUAUUUGAUCAGUCACUCACUUUGGUUCUACACUGUUAAUUCAUACAUGUAUUAAUAAGUUAAAUAAAUAAGCUUUUAACAAUGUAUAUUCAAUUUAAAACAAUUUUUCUUGUUCCCUAGGGUUGCCAUGUAAAUAAAACAGAGUAGGCUUGUGAGUAAAAUAAC
rnacentral:lncRNA from 10 species